rnacentral:rRNA from 1 species
GCGUGCCUAAUACAUGCAAGUCGAGCGAACAGACGAGGAGCUUGCUCCUCUGACGUUAGCGGCGGACGGGUGAGUAACACGUGGAUAACCUACCUAUAAGACUGGGAUAACUUCGGGAAACCGGAGCUAAUACCGGAUAAUAUAUUGAACCGCAUGGUUCAAUAGUGAAAGACGGUUUUGCUGUCACUUAUAGAUGGAUCCGCGCCGCAUUAGCUAGUUGGUAAGGUAACGGCUUACCAAGGCAACGAUGCGUAGCCGACCUGAGAGGGUGAUCGGCCACACUGGAACUGAGACACGGUCCAGACUCCUACGGGAGGCAGCAGUAGGGAAUCUUCCGCAAUGGGCGAAAGCCUGACGGAGCAACGCCGCGUGAGUGAUGAAGGUCUUCGGAUCGUAAAACUCUGUUAUUAGGGAAGAACAAAUGUGUAAGUAACUAUGCACGUCUUGACGGUACCUAAUCAGAAAGCCACGGCUAACUACGUGCCAGCAGCCGCGGUAAUACGUAGGUGGCAAGCGUUA